GGGUCUCACAACAAACAUCCUUUUUAUUUGACCCAUCACAAGGCAUUUCACAAAAUCUUUAUUUGGUGUAAUGUAACUUUAGAAUUUCUCAGUUUAAAAGAUAACUGCUAUGUUACUAAUUUACGUAGAGUGGUAGAGAGGAUUAUUGACUAUUUGCAGAAUGAAGAGUUCAGAGAGGAAAUAAAUGAAGAAGUGAAAUGACGAAGACGAUAAAGGAGCAAGGAAUUUUUAUUUGGUGAGGACUAGAAAUGCGAGGAUGCCUGUACAAUAAAUAAUUAUUAUAGAACCAAUUGUUCUGUUGAUUUUUAAAAUAAUUUCUUGCAUUUUUCUGAUCUGAUUUGUAUCCUAUGUGAUGUUUUGUUGCAGGUCAAAGGCUAGAACAAGUUAUCAUACUUACAGGGAGGAAAGAAGGACUGAAAUGAGGGCCUCUACUUCAGAGAACAGGGGUGAAGUUGCCAGGCAUGACUGUCCGUCACCCAGGAGACGAAGCCCCGCCAAUGAGGUGGUGAAUCGAGGUGCAGGGGAGUCUGACGAGAAAUGUGGUGGGCCCAGGUUGCUGCCAGUUCUUUUGGAAUCACCAAGCACAUGGAGAAGUUGCCUAAUAUGACUGCCCAUCACCCAGGAGAUGAAGCCGAGCCAGUGAGGCAGUUACUUGAGGUGCGGAGGAGUCCGGCGAGAAGUGUGGCGGGCACAGGUUGCUGCUACUGCUUUUUG
rnacentral:lncRNA from 1 species